AAGCUGUGCCUUCAUUCUUCUGAGGCUGACCUGCAGGGCUGCUGCUGGAGAAAUACAGGGAACAAAGGAAAGCCUGACUGGUAACCAGAAGAUGGCACAUCAUAAUAAUAUGGAGAGAUAUGUAUCAUCUUGGCUGCUACCUGUGGCAGCAGCUUGUAAUGGAAUUAGUCAUGGCUAGAACUUCAUCAUGAUGAGGUUUGUGGCUAACACACUCUGAAACCAGCUGCAAAGUCUCAGAGGCUGAUAUCUUCUCACCAGGACAGAAGGUCACAGCAGUGCUAUUCGUUUGUACUCGGGUGUAUGGUUGUUCACUGACACUUGCGUCUUCCCUUCAAAACCAGUUUUUCCACUGUUGUUUCUUAAAGAAGAGUAGGCAGUGAAGGAGGCAUCUGACACCUCUGGCAAAACUUGCUAGACAAUUUUAACUGAAUUAACAUGUGGGUGUCAUAACUUUUAGUUUAAGCCAUCCUGUGCAGUUAUCUCUAUGUCACAAACUUCUGCUCAAAGGUAGUUCUGCACAGUAACGAUGAUAAGUGCUUAUCUCUUUGUUUUUCUAAGUAUUGUGUGGUACCAUCUGAGAAAAAUCAAAAGCUCUCACCUGUAUGCUUUUGUUGGACUUCCUGUGGGACAGUGAAUUACUUCAGGAAGGUUGGGUACAUGUGUAUCUUCUGAGGCUUCCAUGCGUGCCCUUCCUGAAAUGUACAUGGGCGGAUGACUCGGUACAGUCAAUAUGUGGUACAGAAACCUGACAGACACCCCUGCCUAUGUGUUGGCCUCUCGUCUGCCACCCAGUUCUCCCCUAACAGGAGCUAGAAGUAACAAGUACCUAUUUAAACAUGUUUAGAAAUGUGUGAAAGAAUACAUGCUCUUCUGCUGUUGCAGUAGCAACUGAGCUCUUCAGAAACCUCUGCUCCUAAGUCUUACCGUGGUUGUGAAUUUCAUGUAGUAAAAAUGAGCUCAAUAACAUUCACGUGGUUUUAUGAUGGUUGUUGAUACCAUAGGCUUCUCAAGAAAUUCUAUGCUAUUACUACCUAGAGUACUACAUUAAAGGGAAAAAAGGCUUCCUUCAAUAUAUUUACUUUUCUUCCCCCAGGAAAAGAAAAGCAUAAUUUUGAUUGACAAUUUUAUUGGAAAGUGUGUUUCCAGAACCAUUAUAACUGGUUCAAGUGUCUUGAAGUGCAUUUGGGCUCUCAUAUUCUUGUUGUUGUUGUUGUUGUCUCAUUUUGAGGUUUUUCCCACUGUAUGGAUUUUAUUACUCUGCCUCCUUUUCAAUUCCUGAGUUUUUGUGUUAUCUUUGUAGUUUUUGUCUGAAACAGUGAGAAUUGGAAACAUUAAAAAAAAAGAAC
ensembl:lncRNA